AUACGGCCACAUCACGUUGAAACGCAUGUUCCCAUACGAUCGCCGAAGUUAAGCAACAUCGAGCCUGGUUAGUACCUAGAUGGGUUAUGGUAUUCCAGAUGCUG